UUGAACGCUGGCGGAAUGCUUUACACAUGCAAGUCGAACGGCAGCACGGGGGCAACCCUGGUGGCGAGUGGCGAACGGGUGAGUAAUGUAUCGGAACGUACCCAGUCGUGGGGGAUAACUAUCCGAAAGGAUAGCUAAUACCGCAUACGUCCUGAGGGAGAAAGCGGGGGAUCGCAAGACCUCGCGCGAUUGGAGCGGCCGAUAUCGGAUUAGCUAGUUGGUGAGGUAAAGGCUCACCAAGGCGACGAUCCGUAGCGGGUCUGAGAGGACGAUCCGCCACACUGGAACUGAGACACGGUCCAGACUCCUACGGGAGGCAGCAGUGGGGAAUUUUGGACAAUGGGGGAAACCCUGAUCCAGCCAUUCCGCGUGAGUGAAGAAGGCCUUCGGGUUGUAAAGCUCUUUCAGCAGGAACGAAACGGUCGGCUUUAAUAAAGUCGGCUAAUGACGGUACCUGCAGAAGAAGCACCGGCUAACUACGU
rnacentral:rRNA from 1 species